rnacentral:rRNA from 1 species
GUUUACAUGGAUAACUGUGGUAAUUCUAGAGCUAAUACAUGCACCCAGUCCGUUCCCUCGKGGAGCGGAUGCAGUUAUUUGCCCAAAACCAAUCCGGCCUUCGGGUCGGUCAAUUGGUGACUCUGAAUAACCGAAGCGGAGCGCAUGGUCUCGUACCGGCGCCAGAUCUUUCAAGUGUCUGACUUAUCAGCUUGUUGUUAGGUUAUGUUCCUAACARGGSAUCAACGGGUAACGGAGUGUCAGGGCCCGACACCGGAGAGGGAGCCUGAGAAACGGCUACCACAUCCAAGGAAGGCAGCAGGCGCGCAAAUUACCCACUCCCGGCACGGGGAGGUAGUGACGAAAAAUAACGAUGCGAGAGCUUUAUGCUCCUCGUAAUCGGAAUGGGUACACUUUAAAUCCUUUAACGAGGAUCUAUUGGAGGGCAAGUCUGGUGCCAGCAGCCGCGGUAAUUCCAGCUCCAAUAGCGUAUAUUAAAGUUGCUGCGGUUAAAAAGCUCGUAGUUGGAUCUGGGUAGUCGAUGGACGGUGCGCUUUACGGCGUCUACUGUUCGUUCGGCACCACAUGCCGGCCAUGUCUUGCAUGCUCUUCACUGAGUGUGCUUGGCGACCGGAACGUUUACUUUGAAAAAAUUAGAGUGCUCAAAGCAGGCGUUAAGCCUUGCAUAAUGGUGCAUGGAAUAAUAGAAUAGGACCUCGGUUCUAUUUUGUUGGUUUUCGGAACUCGAGGUAAUGAUUAAUAGGAACAGACGGGGGCAUUCGUAUUGCGGCGUUAGAGGUGAAAUUCUUGGAUCGUCGCAAGACGCACUACUGCGAAAGC